UACGGAGGGUGCAAGCGUUGUCCGGAUUUAUUGGGUUUAAAGGGUGCGUAGGCGGCGCGGUAAGUCGGGUGUGAAAUCUCGGGGCUUAACUCCGAAACUGCAUUCGAUACUGCCGUGCUUGAGGACUGGAGAGGAGACUGGAAUUUACGGUGUAGCGGUGAAAUGCGUAGAUAUCGUAAGGAAGACCAGUGGCGAAGGCGGGUCUCUGGACAGUUCCUGACGCUGAGGUGCGAAAGCGUGGGGAGCAAACAGG
rnacentral:rRNA from 1 species